rnacentral:misc_RNA from 1 species
GAGAAGAACGCAGCGAAAUGCGAUAAGUAAUGUGAAUUGCAGAAUUCAGUGAAUCAUCGAAUCUUUGAACGCACAUUGCGCCCGCCAGUAUUCUGGCGGGCAUGCCUGUUCGAGCGUCAUUACAACCCUCAGGCCCCCGGGCCUGGCGUUGGGGAUCGGCGGAGCCCCCCGUGGGCACACGCCGUCCCCCAAAUACAGUGGCGGUCCCGCCGCAGCUUCCAUCGCGUAGUAGCUAACACCUCGCGACUGGAGAGCGGCGCGGCCACGCCGUAAAACACCCAACUCUUCUGAAGUUGACCUCGAAUCAGGUAGGAAUACCCGCUGAACUUAAGCAUAUCAAUAAGCGGAGGA